rnacentral:rRNA from 1 species
CGACUCUCGACAACGGAUAUCUCGGCUCUCGCAUCGAUGAAGAACGUAGCGAAAUGCGAUACUUGGUGUGAAUUGCAGAAUCCCGUGAACCAUCGAGUUUUUGAACGCAAGUUGCGCCCGAAGCCACUCGGCCAAGGGCACGCCUGCCUGGGCGUCACGUAC